rnacentral:tRNA from 1 species
GGAGAAUUAGCUUAAUGGUAAAGCACUAUGAGGUUCAACAUACUGGUUCGACUCCAGAAAUUUGACGGUUCAGAGUGUACGAAGUAGAAGACGUUGGUUCGAAUCCAACAUUCUCCA